UCUAACGUAAUCCCUUUAAGGACUUUCUAUUGCAGAAUCAUCUUCUUACCUUAGAGGUCAAGCCUAAAACUUUAUCUGCCCAGUAUCAGCUUUUUGCAAUGUAAGAUCACUCUUCCUUCUCAGUGAGAGGGGCAAAAAGACUAGAAAUGUCAUAAAGAUUUAAGAAAUGAACCAGAUAACCAAAUCUUUACUAAAGAUUCUAUUAGUAACAAACAUUAAUAAUAAAGGCAAUGGUACAAAAAGUUAUGCAAAACCACAAAUCAUGCUCAACAGCCAAUAAGAUCUUUCAGAGGCCAGAAAGAUCAUCAGAAAAAGGUCACAUUGGUGAGGACAUGAGAAUACAAAGAUAAAAGUGUGUAACCUUGAUAAAGGAACGCAGGGAAAGAAGUCUAAGUUCAAAUGGAGAAAAAGAGUAAACUCUUAUCUACUAACGUCAGGCAGUUCUAAAGACCAGCAGAGGUAUGGCUCAUGAGCAGGUCAAGCUAGAUUAAUGAGCCAGGGAAAGGCAAAUACCCACUGUUGCCACCAUGAACGUUAAUCUCCCUAUUUUCUGAGUAUGCUCUGAGAAUACUAUAUUAAUAUCAUCACUUUUUCUUCUCCAUGCUCAAGAAUGUCUUUCUCUCAGUUCUCUAUCAUCCAAAUCCA
rnacentral:lncRNA from 1 species